UCUCCUCCCACAGCCUCUGCUCUGGCCUCUUGCCUCCAGAGUGCCAGUGGGGUAGGGAGAGGGAAGGAGAGGUUAUCUCCCAGAGCCCCUGCUCUGGGCUCCUGGGAAACCACUCCCAUC